GGAUCAUAUACUCUAGA
rnacentral:misc_RNA from 1 species